UCUACUUAGAUGAUAGUGGUUUUUUGUUCUCCUUUAUCUUGUUAAUGUGAUGUGAUCUUAUAUUGAUGAAUUUUCCAAUUCUAACCCAACUUUUACUUUCAUAGGGUUUCAGGGACUCUUCACAUGGUCUCUCCCUCAAGAUAGUUGGACUUCUUACAUGGUACCUCAGGACUCCCAGGAAUGAGCAUUCAAAGAGUCUUGGGCCAAAGCUGCAAGCCUUCUUUCAUCUAGCCUUAGAAGUCUUAGAAUAUUAGUUCAGCCACCUUCUAUUCACCAAGCUAAUCACUAAGGCCAACCCAGACUCAAAGGAAAGGUCAGAAGUGAUGGUGCAGCCAUAAAGAUGGAGAAUUUUCAACCUAAAAAAAAGGAAAAGACAAGACCCCAGAUUAUGUGGAGUGAAUAAGUGGAGCCUAUAUCCUAAGCAUGAUAUAGACCCGGAUGGUAUGUGUGGCCUAUAUGCACUAUCAAAGAUGACAUGGGUUGGAGAUUGUGAGUGUUUCACAUAGCACACCAUGGAGAGUGCUCCUGAUGUUAACAAGGGCAAGGAAAAGCUGCUGUAGACUGUCCUUGAAAUAUUUCUCCAGGUUUCAUAAUGGUGA